rnacentral:rRNA from 1 species
GUGCCAGCCGCCGCGGUAAUACAGAGAGUGCAAGCGUUAAUCGGAAUUACUGGGCGUAAAGCGCGCGUAGGUGGAUGCUUAAGUCAAAUGUGAAAUACCUGGGCUUAACCUGGGAAUUGCAUCUGAUACUGGGUAUCUUGAGUAUGGUAGAGGGAAGUGGAAUUUCCGGUGUAGCGGUGAAAUGCGUAGAUACCGGAAGGAACACCAGUGGCGAAGGCGACUUCCUGGACCAAUACUGACACUGAGGCGCGAAAGCGUGGGGAGCAAACAGGAUUAGAGACCCUGGUAGUCCACGCUGUCAACGAUGAGAACUGGCUGUUGGAAGGGUAAUACCUUUUAGUAGCGAAGCUAACGCGUUAAGUUCUCCGCCUGGGGAGUACGGCCGCAAGGUUAAA